rnacentral:tRNA from 1 species
CAGAUAUAGUACAAUGGUCAGUACAUCGGCUUCCCAAGCCGAGGAUGCGGGUUCGAUUCCCGUUAUCUG